AGAACGAACGCUGGCGGCGCGCUUAACACAUGCAAGUCGAGCGGGGGUUCUAGCUUCGGUUAGUGCCCCAGCGGCGGACGGGUGAGUAACGCGUGGGAACCUGCCCUGGAGUUCGGGAUAACAGCGGGAAACUGCUGCUAACACCGGAUACGCCCUGAUCAGCGAUGGUGAGGGGAAAGUUUACGCUCUGGGAUGGGCCAGCGUCCGAUUAGCUAGUUGGUGGGGUAACGCCUACCAAGGCUCCGAUCGGUAACUGGUCUGAGGGGAUGGCCAGUCACACUGGGACUGAGACACGGCCCAGACUCCUACGGGAGGCAGCAGUGGGGAAUCUUGGACAAUGGGGGGCAACCCUGAUCCAGCGACGCCGCGUGGGUGAUGAAGGCCUUCGGGUUGUAAAGCCCUUUUACCGGGACGAUGAUGACGGUACCCGGAGAAUAAGCACCGGCUAACUCCGUGCCAGCAGCCGC
rnacentral:rRNA from 1 species